CCACGCCUAUUUGCAGCUGCGCACUGCUCCUUGUUGGUCACUCUGGUGGUCGUCUGGAGGCCUUUGGGGCUGAAGUCACCAAUUUUCCUUCAGCUGAAAUUUUCACCUUGUCUUUUUGUGCAUGCUCCUUUCAGUUCUUUUGAACCCUCUCUUUCCAUUUCUUGUGGCUUAGGGGUCCAAAAGAAUCCAAGGAACCCCCUCACCCUAUGGUGCAUUUAUGCUUGCAUCCUGUUUACGUAUUCUAGCUCUUUAUCUCAUCCUGCAGUCUUUAUUCUCUUCCUGCUCUUUUGGGAGCAGUCAGCAUUUCACACGGGUUUUGUAGCCCCUUCUUUUAUUCAGGGCAAUUUUUAUAAAUGAUUCCUAAUUUCUCUGUUUCACCCUGGCCCAGUGGGGCUGUGGGCUGGGUCGGCACCGCGGCUCCCCGGGCAGCAGCCGGCCCUCUGCCCCCUCCAGAGCCCGGCGCCAGCGGCUGCUGGCCGGGCCUCAGGGCUGGGCGGGCACGGGAGGCCGGGGCUGGCCGCAGACAGUGCCCGGCCGAGGGGCAGAGCCCGCACCAACCCUUCCCUCCUGCCGCUCUCUGCAGCUGGCACAGGACAGGAACCGAGCGGCUGAGGACCUGCGCCGGGCCCUGCCGUACCUGCAGAGCCCACAGGAGUCCCUGCGAGCGGCGGCCAUCAGGUUCAUCGAGAUGGUCGAGGUACCCAUGAGGGGGCAGCAGGAAGAGCUCUAGGCCUUCAGUAAGGCCUUUUAAGCCCUGAGGAGGAAUGACAGCCCUUCCCAGACAAACAUAGUAGUUCAACUGAUAUUCAGUGAAAGAGCUGCAGAAGUAGGCUCAUCUGCUGGCUCAGAAGAAACAGUGUUCAUUUAAGACCUCCAGAUGCCAUGGAAGAUGAGAGUACCUUGACACCAGAAGAGACCAGCUGGAGCUCCAGGCACAGCUAAUGACUGGCACAGCUGAGCCUGUGGGAAGCUCAUGUGGCUUCAGCCCUCUCCCUGCCUGUAGAUAGUUCCCUCCCUGCAGCCCUCAGACACUGCCCACUCCUUCUUUUUCCCUUCCACUCUCCCUCCUUUUUGACAGCUCCAUCCCCCCAGCCCUCAGACUGUGCCACCCCCUUUUUUGGCUCUCAGCUCAUCCCUUUGCUUUGUCUUCCAGCAAUAAACAGUUUGGCUUUUUCACUUAACCUGCAUCUGUGUGGAGCUGAAGGGUCACAAUUCUGGAGUUCUGUGACACAAAUCCUGAGCCCUGAGACACACAGUCCCCUCCUGCUGUUCUCUUCUGCACCGUGUUUUGUUCAGAGACGCAGAGGAACGAGCGCAGAUCAGGCUGGAUAGGUCCCUGUGCUGAAGGUCCAGUUCCACAACAUUGUGGAGUUAAAGGUCUUGCUGAGUACCCUGAGCCUUGGAUUUUGGAAGAGCCAAGCUGAGUAUGCCCUGAACCCCGCUGUGAGGGGUUCUGUGUCAAGCAUCCACAGAUGGCAAAGGAGCUUAGGAUGCCUGAGGCUUUCAAGAAUAGCUCCCUGAAAGCACAGUAAUGCUCCAUCCCUGCUCAGGAUCAGGAAGAGGGCAGAACCAGAGAGAAUCUGGGCUUAACAGGGAGCUGUGGGUGUGUCUAAGAGCAAAUGAAGCAGCAGCACAGUGGCCGAGACUCGGACACACAACCGUGCUGGCGUCCGGAGCGCUGUCAGGCAGUGCCGGGAUCCUGGGUUUGGUUCUGGGCCCCACAACUGAGGAACUGCAGCCCCUGCCUCAGAGCCUGUCAGAAAGCCAAGCAAGUGAGACCAGAGGGAGGGCAUCCUUCCAGUCUCUCUUGGGCAUGGCCGCAAAACAGCUCCUGCUCCUUCUUCCUCCGCCUCUGCUUGGGCUCUGCUGUUACAAACGGAGACAAGUUUAGACAAGUUCUGCCUUUGUCUCAGCUUUGUGGCAGCAGCUCAUUUUGAGGCAGCCUGCACCCCAAAUGUCUCUCAUUCACAAGUUCUUAAGAAUGGCUGAUUAGGUUUAUUAUAAAAUUAAUUCUUUAUUGAAUUGACAAAGGAUUAACAGACAUCAGACUUUAGAUAGACCACUUAGUACAUAGGACAAAACAAAAAGAGCCACUACUAGAUCAAAAAUACAGGACAAUAAAAGGUACCUUGUUAUAAAUCCAUAUUGUGAUACUGGCUUUUGCAAGUAUUAAGAUGA